AACAGUUUGCUGGAAAAACUACCCGUACGCUUCCCUCGCCUCGACCCUGCCUUGCCGAGCCAAAUCCCUAGCCGCCGCCGCACACUCGCCGCCGCGGCCGACUUUAACCCACUCGUCGUCGCGGCUGCACCUCUGCCCGCUCGCCGCCCCUGCCGCAGCGCUCGAGCGCAGCUUCUGGAUCAGGUCAACGUGGCGGCUCGAGGGGCUGGGGACGAUACGUCUGCUCGGUGCAGACGGGCGGCGGCGGGAUCCAGCGGGCGCGAGAGAAGGAGGUAUCCGGCGCGGCGGGAGAAGUCUUUGCGGGUGGAGGCGGGCCUCCAUGGCUGGUAGGUAGAGCUCCAAGGUCAUGGCGGGGCUUUGAUUUUUCUGGUAUAAAAGAGAGACAGAGGAGGAUCCAGUGAGGAGGAGAGGUAGGAGAAGAAGGACGGGGAAGAAGGAAGGGUGCGGCAGGGGUGCAGCGGUACGAGGGCAUUGUUCUCGCGCGUGAGGAGCGCCUCUCCUCGGGAGGAUAGGGAGGGAGCGAGUGAAACUCAAAUCCACUUCAGCGCAAGGUACUGUUGUAGAAGUACGAAGAAGCAAGCUGACCAGAUGUACAUGUACUAGCAGGCAACGACGAUGAAGCAAGCCAACCAGAUGUGCACGAAACUACCAUACAUCAUGCCUGAUUGAUCCUCCGGCUCGUAUUUGAAGAUACAAGUUGAGGUGUGUCUUGGGACAGUGUGACUAAAAAAUGAACCUUCAGUUUCUGCAAUCAGAAGAAAAGUGAGUGAUUUUUCAAUGAAAACAUAAUACUUCUGAGCAUAAGCAUGAUAAAGUGCAGCAACUGACUUGGCUUAUUGUUUUGGAAAUCGCAACCGAUACUCACCUAAUUGUUUCUGAGAUCACUGGUGUUGUUACUGCCUCCAGAAGCUGCAAUCUAAAGCCUUCUAUAAGAAUAUCAUCACAGAGUAGAUCAAAAAGUUGGAGCGGCGAGAUAACAAUACUGAUUAGUUGGUAUUAACUUUAUAAAAUAAAUUGAUUAUUUUGUCUAACAUAUAUUGUUGCUAAUGUGUUCAUGCAUUCCUCAGAUUUUGAUAUGCUGAAAAUUUGCCAAAGUUGAGUCGCCAGGAACUUGAAGUAGGGUGUGAGGAUUUUAGCAACAUAAUUGGCUCAACUCCGGAGAAUGUAGUCUACAAAGGAACAAUGAAGGAUGGACCUGAGGUUUCUUUCAUAUCAUUAUUCCCCCUUGAAGGUUAUUGAUAUGGCAAGGUUGAAUCAUGAGAACAUAGCAAAGUUUCUGGACUAUUGCAGAGAGAGUGACCUAUUCUCGAGGAUUUUAGUCUUUGAGUACGCAUCAAAUGGGACCCUAUACGAGCACCUACACUAUGGGGAAGCGGCCCAAUUCUCUUGGCUCAGACGAAUGAAAAUAGCCAUCGGCAUCGCCAAAAGUUUAAGGUAUCUGCACACCGAGUCGCGGCCUCCUUUCGCUAUAUCAGAGUUGAAAGCCAAUUCAGUAUACGUUACAGAAGAUUUUACCCCCAAGGCUGACGACGUUGUCUACUGAAGCCCCACCGGUGACGCGACAGGAGAGCUCCAACAUGUACGUGGGUGUGGGGACGCAGAUCCGCGUCGCCAGCCUACACAAGGCAAUGGUCAACGCGCCGACGCAGGGUUCAUCAUCUGUCUUCGUCAGGUGACUUUCCAUGCGAUUUUUACUUCUAAAAAUUAGAAAAUACCUUCAGAUCAAAGCAGGGGAUUUGUAGAUUUCUGGGUAUUGUUGCUACUCCAUCUCCAUCCAGCUUACGGUCUUUGGUCACUGAUUCUGAGGGGACGGCCAGGAUUACAAUGAGGGCGAGACGUUGAAGCUGGCGUCGGCAACUGUGACCACAACUGUGACAUUAACAUCGACCAUGGGAGCGAGGCGUCAGCCCUUGACAUAGACCGUGUUGGCCCCUUGUGUUUCUGUCCAGCCGUGCUCCGGUUCCGGCAGCUCCCAUUCCAGCCUAUCCCUUCUAGGAGCCUUCAGAUCGCUAAUGAUACUAAGAUUGCAUGAGUCCAUGAAGCAAGCAAUAAUCUAUCUCAAAAAAUUGUGUCCAAGCAUAUAACGGUUCAUCAAUUUUUGAAAUCUGACUAUGGCUAUGUAGCACGCUGAAAAGACAAGAGAAUAAUGCAUGCAUAUGUCCGAGCUAUGCUGUCUCCCACCUCGAGCUCGGUGCUCUCGCAUGCAAGGCUAAGCUAUCUCCACCGACUCCUCGCAAAUGCUACAUUGAGUUUAUUCAUGAUGUUCUUGCCGUUGUUGCAUUUGAGAGGGGGAAAGAACGUCAAUUUUGCUUUUUAAAGGGAAGAUAAAGAAGUAUGUUAUUGAUGGGAUAUGGACCCUGGCUUUUAGCGAUGAUCAAUGUUGCAAGGCAACAGAGGCCAUGGUUAUUGAAGAGACGAAAGCUCUAGCAAAGCUCACUUGGCAAAUAGUUUGGCUGGAUCCUAUUUACACUCAAUAAAUUGAAUUUUCACAGUUCAUUAAGUUUAACCGACUUUACGCACGGUCACACAAGAUUCUUUCACCUGGUUUUUUCUUCCUUUUUACAGAUGACCAUCGUGCUACCCCCUUCCAAGACACGACACAAUGGAGACAAAGGCACAGACGUGCAGCAGGGCCCCGUUUCAAGGUUUCUUUUUAGAUUAAUACCAUGUGUAAACCUUUUUUAUUGUCUCUUGUUGGCUCAAACCCUCCUGGUACUUAAAAUGACCAAGAGGGAUACCGGCAUUUGGCAAGCUUCUUGUUAGUCGAUCUAAAUAGACGUUACAAGGGCAGCAACCAUUGUGUUUUGGGAUCUAUGCUCUCACCACAGCUGCUCUUUCGUCACGCUAGAUUAAUGCACGUACCUGGAAAUUUAGGGCUCAUUA